GACGAACGCUGGCGGCGUGCUUAACACAUGCAAGUCGAACGGAAAGGCCCUGCUUUUGUGGGGUGCUCGAGUGGCGAACGGGUGAGUAACACGUGAGUAACCUGCCCUUGACUUUGGGAUAACCUCAGGAAACUGGGGCUAAUACCGGAUAGGAGCUCCUGCUGCAUGGUGGGGGUUGGAAAGUUUCGGCGGUUGGGGAUGGACUCGCGGCUUAUCAGCUUGUUGGUGGGGUAGUGGCUUACCAAGGCUUUGACGGGUAGCCGGCCUGAGAGGGUGACCGGCCACAUUGGGACGGAGAUACGGCCCAGACUCCUACGGGAGGCAGCAGUGGGGAAUAGUGCACAAUGGGCGGAAGCCUGAUGCAGCAACGCCGCGUGCGGGAUGACGGCCUUCGGGUUGUAAACCGCUUUCGCCUGUGACGAAGCGUGAGUGACGGUAAUGGGUAAAGAAGCACCGGCUAACUACGUG
rnacentral:rRNA from 1 species